rnacentral:rRNA from 1 species
AUUAAACGCUGGCGGCAUGCCUUACACAUGCAAGUCGAACGGCAGCACGGGGGCAACCCUGGUGGCGAGUGGCGGACGGGUGAGUAAUGCAUCGGAACGUGCCCUGAAGUGGGGGAUAACGCAGCGAAAGCUACGCUAAUACCGCAUAUUCUGUGAGCAGGAAAGCAGGGGAUCGCAAGACCUUGCGCUUUGGGAGCGGCCGAUGUCGGAUUAGCUAGUUGGUGGGGUAAAGGCCUACCAAGGCGACGAUCCGUAGCGGGUCUGAGAGGAUGAUCCGCCACACUGGGACUGAGACACGGCCCAGACUCCUACGGGAGGCAGCAGUGGGGAAUUUUGGACAAUGGGCGGAAGCCUGAUCCAGCCAUGCCGCGUGAGUGAAGAAGGCCUUCGGGUUGUAAAGGCUCUUUCGGUCGGGGGAAGGAAAGUUAGCUUGGGGUUAAGUACCCUGAGUAGAUGACGGUACCCGAA